UGGGGAAUUUUCCGCAAUGGGCGAAAGCCUGACGGAGCAAUACCGCGUGAGGGAGGAAGGCUUUUGGGUUGUAAACCUCAAAAAUUAGGGAAGAAGAAAGUGACGGUACCUAACAUAAGCAUCGGCUAACUCCGUGCCAGCAGCCGCGGUAAUACGGAGGAUGCAAGCGUUAUCCGGAAUCAUUGGGCGUAAAGAGUCCGUAGGCGGAACUUCAAGUCUGCUGUCAAAGACCGAAGCUUAACUUCGGAAAGGCGGUGGAAACUGAAGAACUAGAGUACAGAAGGGGUAGAGGGAAUUCCCAGUGUAGCGGUGAAAUGCGUAGAGAUUGGGAAGAACACCAGUGGCGAAGGCGCUCUACUGGACUUGUACUGACGCUGAGGGACGAAAGCUAGGGGAGCAA
rnacentral:rRNA from 1 species